rnacentral:rRNA from 1 species
AACGAACGCUGGCGGCAGGCCUAACACAUGCAAGUCGAACGCUGUAGCAAUACAGAGUGGCAGACGGGUGAGUAACGCGUGGGAACCUUCCCAAUGGUACGGAAUAGCCCAGGGAAACUUGGGGUAAUACCGUAUACGCCCCUAGGGGGAAAGAUUUAUCGCCAUUGGAUGGGCCCGCGUCGGAUUAGCUAGUUGGUGAGGUAAUGGCUCACCAAGGCAACGAUCCGUAGGUGGUUUGAGAGAAUGACCAGCCACACUGGGACUGAGACACGGCCCAGACUCCUAGGGGAGGCAGCAGUGGGGAAUCUUGGACAAUGGGCGCAAGCCUGAGCCAGCCAUGCCGCGUGAGUGACGAAGGCCUUAGGGUUGUAAAGCUCUUUUGCCGGGGACGAUAAUGACGGUACCCGGAGAAUAAGUCCCGGCUAACUUCGUGCCAGCCGCCGCAGUAA